CAUUCCCUUCGUCACCCAUUUCUUUGCUCCGUAAGUCUGCAGAUCCAUCAAUAUACCUGUGGUUCAAUACAGUUGGUGCGUCGCUCACACAGCUACCUUUGCUAAUCUGCAGACCAGCACAAGACACAGACUCCAGCUCUACUCUGCUUACUGCCUGUGUCUGACUCAACAUCAGCUGCUGGGUGUGCUGCAGAGAUCUCAUCACCUCCUAUACAAACACACACACACAAUAUAGGUAUCCACAAAGAAGCAAUACGACAACACGGUUAUAUGACGAUAACUCUCUGGAGCUGAGCCAGAACUGCAAACUGCAGUAAGUGUCCCUGGUUCAUUCCUCCGUAUCUUUUGCAGAAGCACACAGAGAAAGAGGAACAUUAGAGGGGAGGUGAUAUUUGUGGAAAGCCAUCCCUGUCCUCCCUCUUCCCCUGGAGAAGGCAGGGUAAAGUCUACCAGUAUACCACGUUCUCACCAACCAAAGCAGUGGGUUGUACUGUAUUUAAAAAAAAAAAAGAAAGAAAACAAACCCUUUGGAAUUUGACCUGCUGAGGAAUGUCCGGCACCAUCAUGACAUCCUUCUCGCUUCUCAACCUCUCCACCCCGUGAACGACACAACUACAAAGCGCUACUUUGAUAGCAGCAGCGCCUGAGGACGACCCGACUGAUAGACCAUCUUAUGUUUGUGUCCCAGUUAACAUGACUAUAACAAUAAAAACUAAAUGGCAACAAA